AUCCUGUUGAAAAUACUUUUAUUUUGAAAAUAUGACGACAUCCUGUUGAAAAUACUUUUAUUUUGAAAAGACGAGGAUAUCCUGUCGCUUAGCUUUUGUGCUUCAAUUCAGUUCGCUAUGUAUAGGAUUUCAGAAAACCAAUUCUGUGUCCAUUAAAUCGACGUUUUACCACCGCGUUAUCCGUUCGUCAUCUAUGAACACGAUUUUCCCGGUUGCUAACUGCUCUCGGUGAAACGGAUAUGAUGGUGAAAUGGCUCCCUCCGGUUCAAAUAUUGAGCAGCAAGCCUUUGACGGUAUUAAUACAUCGCUCGCGAUUGAUCCAGACAGCGCAGCCGCUGGUAAAACAAGAUCCAUCUCCAACAUUUUUUAUGAGAAAUCAAAAUUUUAGAGAGACUUAUCUCUAUUUUAAAAUGGUAAUAUAUGCCAUGAUAGUAACAUAUUACCGAAACAAAUAAUUUAUCAUACAUUUAAACAUGUAUUCAACACUUAUUUAUUAAGCUCAUUGAUCUUAUAAAACACUAUUCACUUAUUUUAAAGAAGUUUAAUUAAUAUAUUGUAAUUACAUAUAUAACACACUGUAUAAAAUAAACAUUUAAUAAAGUUUUAGGUCACAAUAAA